GCGCGCGAGGCGGUUUAUUAAGUCUGGUGUUUAAGCCCGGGGCCCAACCCCGGUUCGCAUCGGAAACUGAGAGACUGGAGUGCAGGAGAGGAAAGCGGACUUCCACGUGUAGCGGUGAAGUGCGUAGAGAUGUGGAGGAAAACCAGUGGCGAAGGCGGCUUUCUGGACUGUAACUGACGCUGAGGCGCGAAAGCGUGGGGAGCAAACAGGAUUAGAUACCCUAGUAGUCCACGCCGUAAACGAUGAGUGCUAGGUGUUACGGGUUUCGAUACCCUUGGUGCCGAAGUCAACACAAUAUGCACUCCGCCUGGGGAGUACGCUCGCAAGAGUGUAACUCAAAGGAAUUGACGGGGGCCCGCACAAGCAGUGGAGUAUGUGGUUUAAUUCGAAGCAACGCGAAGAACCUUACCAGGUCUUGACACCCUCUGAAAGGCCUAGAGAUAGGCCCGGCCUUCGGGACAGAGGAGACAGGUGGUGCAUGGUUGUCGUCGCUCGUGUCGUGAGAUGUUGGGUUAAGUCCCGCAACGAGCGCAACCCUUGACUUUAGUUGCCAGCAUUCAGUUGGGCACUCUAGAGUGACUGCCGGUGACAGACCGGAGGAAGGUGGGGAUGACGUCAAAUCAUCAUGCCCCUUUGACCUGGGCUACACACGUACUACAAUGGCCGGUACAACGGGAAGCGAAGGAGCGAUCCGGAGCGAAUCCUUAGCAGCCGGUCUCAGUUCGGAUUGCAGGCUGCAACUCGCCUGCGUGAAGUCGGAAUUGCUAGUAAUCGCGGAUCAGCAUGC
rnacentral:rRNA from 1 species